GAGGAGUCUGGUGGGCUACGGUCCACAGGGUCAGAGUCGGACACAACUGAAGAGACUUAGCACGCAUGCACGCACAAGUAAGGCUGCAAAAAAAGCAGGUUUGGGGAUUAGCCUAUCUUAAGAUAUUCAUAACUUCAUCAUGAAUUGUUUUUAAAGACUUGGAAUGAGUCCCAAGUGGAUAAGCAGUCUAAUUGAGAUGAAUAUUUGAGUAACUGAUUAAAUGUUGCUUUUCAGUUCACCAUUUUUCCUAAAUCUCAUAAGGAUACUAAAAGCUAUCAGGUACCAGUUCAUAAAAUUUACAGAACAUUGCUCAAAACAUUCAGGGGUAUUUAGGACUAUAUCUCUAAUAUAACAAGUGUAACCCUGUCAUCUAUUCUUUAUGUUUACACGAUUCUAUGGAAGGCCUUGUGAUUUCAUGUUAUUAGCACAGAAAAGAUGGAUAAGUUUGAUUUCUACAGGAGGGCUUCCCUUCUUCAGCAGACACAAUUUCCAAUGGCAACCCAAAAACAGGAUUUAUGGAUUUGGAAGGAAGGCCCUAACAAACCCACUGUUGAGCAUUUCAAUUAGAGCUUUGAAUGAUCAAUAUUCAGCAAGUUACUAUCAAAACUCAAUUAAAAGUUUUUUCUUGUGUAGCAACAUUUUGAGCAUGGUGAAGAGGAGAUGAGGAAGAGCUGAGCUUUUAUUACAGGAAUAAAUGCCAGCAGAAGGAGAUACAAAAGAGUCUGAUCCUGUGCUAGAAAAGAUGGUGCUAAUCAAAGGGUACUGACUUGAACCAUACCUUAGAAGGACAAAGUAUUAAGGACUAAUGCAUUAAUCUGUUAAGCCCCCGUGUCAGCAGAAGGGGUGGGGGCAGUGAGGGAGGGAAAAUUGCCCUUUACUAGAGUGCCCUUAAUAGGAUAUACUAGAAACUGAACUUGGAAUGAAGAAUCGCUCUGAAGCUAUGUAUACAGUGGAAAGCACAGGGAAGUGUAAUCAGACCCACAAGUAGUCUCCAUCAUAGUGUGGAAUCCAAGCUGUCUGCAUAUUCAAGGAAGAGGUAUGCAGUGAUUGACAAUUUUUAUUAUACAUACUGAGAACUCCAGUAAGCACUGGAAAGUACAAAAAUAAUGUCUCAUUUUUAGUUAGUUACUCCUAAUUAUUAAAGCCAACUUUCUUUGCCAUGGAGGCUUCUGUAUCUCUUCUGUAUCUCUGACUCAAGCAAGUAGGGGCCUUGCCUAGUCUGGGCUCCACCUCUGUUCAAUAGCUGCCACUUGGGACUUCCCUGGUGUUGCAGUGGAUAGGAAUCCACCUGCCAGUGCAGGCGACACAGGUCCAAUCCCCGGCCCAGGAAGAUUCCUCAUGCCUUGGAGCAACUAAGCCCAUGCCCCACAACUGCUGAACCCGAGUUCUAGGGCCCAAGAGCCAUAACCACGGAGCCCACAUGCCACAACUACUGAGGCCUGUGCGCCUAGAGCCUGGACUCCAUGACAAGAAGCCACACAGUGAGAAGCCCGCACAUUGCAAAGAAGAGCAGUCCCCGCUUAUCUCAACAAGAGAAAGCCUGCAUAAAGCAACGAAGAUCCAGUGCAACCAUAAAUAAAUGAACAAGUUGCUGCCACUGA